AGCGAACGCUGGCGGCAGGCUUAACACAUGCAAGUCGAGCGGGUGUAGCAAUACAUCAGCGGCAGACGGGUGAGUAACGCGUGGGAACGUACCUUUUGGUUCGGAACAACCCAGGGAAACUUGGGCUAAUACCGGAUAAGCCCUUACGGGGAAAGAUUUAUCGCCGAAAGAUCGGCCCGCGUCUGAUUAGCUAGUUGGUGAGGUAAUGGCUCACCAAGGAGACGAUCAGUAGCUGGUCUGAGAGGAUGAUCAGCCACAUCGGGACUGAGACACGGCCCAAACUCCUACGGGAGGAAGCAGUGGGGAAUAUUGGACAAUGGGGGCAACCCUGAUCCAGCCAUGCCGCGUGAGUGAUGAAGGCCCUAGGGUUGUAAAGCUCUUUUGUGCGGGAAGAUAAUGACGGUACCGCAAGAAUAAGCCCCGGCUAACUUCGUGCCAGCCGCCGCCGUAAGAC
rnacentral:rRNA from 1 species